AGACAUGAGAGGAGGAUAGGAGGCCAAGCCCUCCAUUAUUGAGAUUCCCUUUGAGACUUUUUCUGCAGAGGCGUGUGCUCCUCUCAUGCCUGUUGGCCCCACAGGGACCCCACACUAACUCCAUUGCAGCCACCGAUCCUCUGCCUUCUUCCUUCUAUAAAUAGAGACCAUGGCAAGGAGCAUUGAGACAUAGCCAUUCACACCCAAGCUACACAAAACUCCUCUGCAAAGUUCCAUUCUCUCUCUUAAAUUCUCAGAUCAUCAUGUCGGACAAGUGCGGUAACUGCGACUGUUCUGACUCCAGCCAGUGCACGAAGAAAGGAAACACCAUUGUCAUUGAGACUGAGAAGAGCUACAUCGAGACCUUCGUUGUGGAUGCUCCAGCAGCCGAGAAUGAUGGCAAGUGCAAGUGCGGUACUGGCUGCGCUUGUGUGACCUGCACAUGCGGUCAUUAAGCAUAUAAGCUAAUGUGAUGAGGUCGAGAGUCUGAGGCCACCGUAAUAAUGUGGUUGUGUCGAAUAAUUUGUGUCUCAAUUUCCUUAAGUGGUGUUGUUUCUGAAUCGUUGAGUCAAAAGUGAGUGUCAAUCGUGUAUGUGUUGUGUCUCCUUUCGUCUGUGUAAUGGUCACUCUGUGACCAUGUUGUGUGUUUAUAAAUGGACUACUAUUAGUGUGUAA